AAGUCGUAACAAGGUCUCCGUUGGUGAACCAGCGGAGGGAUCAUUACAGAGUUGCAAAACUCCCACAAACCAUCGCGAAUCUUACCCGUACGGUUGCCUCGGCGCUGGCGGUCCGGAAGGCCCUCGGGCCCCCGGACCCUCGGGUCUCCCGCUCGCGGGAGGCUGCCCGCCGGAGUGCCGAAACCAAACUCUUGAUAUUUUAUGUCUCUCUGAGUAAACUUUUAAAUAAGUCAAAACUUUCAACAACGGAUCUCUUGGUUCUG
rnacentral:misc_RNA from 1 species